rnacentral:rRNA from 1 species
GGAUUAGAAACCCGGGUAGUCCACGCCGUAAACGAUGGAUACUAGCUGUUGGAGGUAUCGACCCCUUCAGUAGCGAAGCUAACGCGUUAAGUAUCCCGCCUGUGGAGUACGGUCGCAAGACUAAAACAUAAAGGAAUUGACGGGGACCCGCACAAGUAGUGGAUGAUGUUCUUUAAUUCGAUGAUAAGCGAAGAACCUUACCAGGGUUUGACAUCCUUGGAAUUUCUGUGAAAGCAGAGAGUGCCUUUUGGAACCAAGUGACAGAUGUUGCAUGGCCGUCGUCAGCUCGUGUCGUGAGAUGUUUGGUUAAGUCCAUCAACGAGCGCAACCCUUGUGAAUAGUUGUAUUUUUCUAUUCAGACUGCCCCGGUAACGGGGAGGAAGGAGGGGAUGAU